rnacentral:lncRNA from 13 species
GAGCCCAGAGCUUGCAACUCCCAUGAUGCAGGUGACCUGCGGAAGAAGCCGGCAUGCUUCACCGUGAAGCUGCACGGCACCCAGCCUAGGACCCGGAGGUGCUGGCCGAGAUGUGGCAGGAGCUGGGGUUGCUGUGGGCCCAGCUGCUGCCCCACCCCAACAAGGCCAGCUGCUUCAGGAUGGUGAGGAACAUGGAAAGAUUAGUGAACGACCUGAAUUUGGCCCCACCUGGUGCCCAUCUUGUGCUAUGA